rnacentral:rRNA from 1 species
GACGAACGCUGGCGGCGUGCUUAACACAUGCAAGUCGAACGGAAAGGCCCUGCUUUUGUGGGGUGCUCGAGUGGCGAACGGGUGAGUAACACGUGAGUAACCUGCCCUUGACUUUGGGAUAACUUCAGGAAACUGGGGCUAAUACCGGGUAGAAGCUCCUGCUGCAUGGUGGGGGUUGGAAAGUUUCGGCGGUGGGGGAUGGACUCGCGGCUUAUCAGCUUGUUGGUGGGGUAGUGGCUUACCAAGGCUUUGACGGGUAGCCGGCCUGAGAGGGUGACCGGCGACAUUGGGACUGAGAUACGGCGCAGACUCCUACGGGAGGCAGUAGGGGGGAAUAUGGCACAAUGGGCGGAAGCCUGAUGCAGCAACGCCGCGUGCGGGAUGACGGCCUUCGGGUUGUAAACCGCUUUCGCCUGUGACGAAGCGUGAGUGACGGUAAUGGGUAAAGAAGCACCGGCUAACUACGUG